rnacentral:rRNA from 1 species
UACGAAGGGGGCAAGCGUUGUUCGGAAUUACUGGGCGUAAAGCGCACGUAGGCGGCUUUGCAAGUCGGGUGUGAAAUCCCCGGGCUCAACCUGGGAACUGCAUCCGAGACUGCUUUGCUCGAGUAUGGGAGAGGGAAGUGGAAUUUCCGGUGUAGCGGUGAAAUGCGUAGAUAUCGGAAGGAACAUCAGUGGCGAAGGCGACUUCCUGGAACAAUACUGACGCUCAGGUGCGAAAGCGUGGGGAGCAAACAGG